CCUAGCGGCGGACGGGUGAGUAAUGCUUAGGAAUCUGCCUAUUAGUGGGGGACAACAUUCCGAAAGGAAUGCUAAUACCGCAUACGCCCUACGGGGGAAAGCAGGGGAUCUUCGGACCUUGCGCUAAUAGAUGAGCCUAAGUCAGAUUAGCUAGUUGGUGGGGUAAAGGCCUACCAAGGCGACGAUCUGUAGCGGGUCUGAGAGGAUGAUCCGCCACACUGGGACUGAGACACGGCCCAGACUCCUACGGGAGGCAGCAGUGGGGAAUAUUGGACAAUGGGCGAAAGCCUGAUCCAGCCAUGCCGCGUGUGUGAAGAAGGCCUUUUGGUUGUAAAGCACUUUAAGCGAGGAGGAGGCUACUUGGAUUAAUACUCUAGGAUAGUGGACGUUACUCGCAGAAUAAGCACCGGCUAACUCUGUGCCAGCAGCCGCGGUAAUACAGAGGGUGCAAGCGUUAAUCGGAAUUACUGGGCGUAAAGC
rnacentral:rRNA from 1 species